UGCCAAAUUAAUUAUGCUGUGUUUUUUUAUUUUCAUUUUAUUUCAGUCUUCUGGUAGUAUUUGCUGCAUUUUUAAUCGCUUUGCAAAAUACACGAGAUUCCCAAUGCUGUCCAUUAUUUCCAUGAAAACCCUAACUUGGUUGCAAUUAAUCAGCUAUAAUAUGUGUUCCAGGCUACCUGCUGAGGAAGGCAGGCCAGAGAACAGAGUAAGAGCUGAAGCUGGAAAGCCAUUUUUCUGCUUGCCCCAAUUCAGGAUGCAAACUUCAAGUCUGCUACUGCAUUUGUAGAUAGAGACAGCUUGUGGAAAGCAACACAUCUUUCUUUUCAUCUCCUGUUGAAACUUAACUUCGCUGGUUGUAGUAAUAGCUUAUGUGCAAGUCAUUCCAGUCUGUCUGCUCAAGCAUCUCUUUCCUUUACAGCUUUGAAAUCAGCCGCAGCUUCCUCAGCUACUCCCUGCCUGGAAGACACCUUCCCAGCAGCAGCAGUCUCCUGCCAGGGCCUGCUGCACAGGGAAGAGCAAAGGUUCCUUCUUGCUACUACUGCUUCACUCUUUUUUUUUGCUUCUUCUCUUUCUCUGCUUUCUCCCCAAGUUUAAGCUCUGAGCAGUUAUGCAGCUCUAAACUACAGUAUUUCUAUUAUGAAUAGGAAUUUCUACAAGCAGCUUUGCUUCAGCACAGGUGAGACCUAAGGAAAAAAAGACGAGAAUAUUCUGUCAUCAGUGGAACAAGUCUGAGAAUGAGCUGUACCUCCACGUGUCUGCUCUGCUGUCUGCAGCAUUUGCGUGCAGCAUGUGGUAGUUUGACCAUGUUUCUGUCUCAGUAGGUGGGGCAUUUCCAACAAGAUAACCAAAAGAAAGAAUAGUAGGAAAUCUUAAUCAAUUUAAUUCUACUAUUUUUAUACUAAUGAACUGACUGGAAUGACAGAGCAGGAACUCAGCAGGAAAAGAACAAUAGCAUGUUUACGCAGUACUGAUUCUUCUUGGUCAAAAUUAAGACAUUCCUAUAGGAGACAGGAAGAACCCAUGCAGUGGGCCUGCAACAAGACACUGCUGACUGCCUGACAUCUGGUGUCUGGAUUCUCUGCAAGUACUGGACCAUCAUAUUCUGUUACCUGUAAGUUGCUUCUCAUACAGGCUUCACUGAUCUCAGAUUUAUCAUUGUGUUUUAUAAGGUGGACUGACACACAGCAAGUUCUUCAGCAGGUCCGUUUAUAAAAAGGAAGAGAAGAGCUUUCAGUGUUUUCCUGGUGUAAAUGAAAGACUGCAAGUGUCCUGUUCUGGAGAUUAAAAUCUCAAUAUAUGCUCAGAGGUGUUAUUUCCCUUGAAUUCUCUGGAACUUAAAUGCAUUUAGUACGGAGUAAAAAUGCGUACUUCUGGC